UACGGAAGGCAGCAGGGGGAAUAUUGCACAAUGGGCGCAAGCCUGAUGCAGCCAUGCCGCGUGUAUGAAGAAGGCCUUCGGGUUGUAAAGUACUUUCAGUCGUGAGGAAGGUGUUAAGGUUAAUAACCUUAGCAAUUGACGUUAGCGACAGAAGAAGCACCGGCUAACUCCGUGCCAGCAGCCGCGGUAAUACGGAGGGUGCGAGCGUUAAUCGGAAUUACUGGGCGUAAAGGGCACGCAGGCGGUUAAUUAAGUUGGAUGUGAAAUCCCCGGGCUUAACCUGGGAAUGGCAUUCAAGACUGGUUAGCUAGAGUCUUGUAGAGGGGGUAGAAUUCCAUGUGUAGCGGUGAAAUGCGUAGAGAUGUGGAGGAAUACCGGUGGCGAAGGCGGCCCCUGGACAAAGACUGACGCUCAUGUGCGAAAGCGUGGGGAGCAAACGAGGAUUAGAUACC
rnacentral:rRNA from 1 species